rnacentral:rRNA from 1 species
AUGAACGCUGGCGGCGUGCCUAAUACAUGCCAGUCGCGCGAACAGACGAGGAGCUUGCUCCUUCGACGUUAGCGGCGGACGGGUGAGUAACACGUAGGUAACCUACCUAUAAGACUGGGAUAACUUCGGGAAACCGGAGCUAAUACCGGAUAAUAUUUCGAACCGCAUGGUUCGAUAGUGAAAGAUGGCUUUGCUAUCACUUAUAGAUGGACCUGCGCCGUAUUAGCUAGUUGGUAAGGUAACGGCUUACCAAGGCAACGAUACGUAGCCGACCUGAGAGGGUGAUCGGCCACACUGGAACUGAGACACGGUCCAGACUCCUACGGGAGGCAGCAGUAGGGAAUCUUCCGCAAUGGGCGAAAGCCUGACGGAGCAACGCCGCGUGAGUGAUGAAGGUGUUCGGAUCGUAAAACUCUGUUAUUAGGGAAGAACAAACGUGUAAGUAACUGUGCACGUCUUGACGGUACCUAAUCAGAAAGCCACGGCUAACUACGUG